CCUGGCGGAAACAGCAGUGUGGUCCCACCCGUUCCCAUCCCGAACACGGAAGUGAAACGCACCCGCGCCGAUGGUAGUGUGGCUUAAGCCAUGUGAGAGUAGGUCACUGCCAGGG
rnacentral:rRNA from 2 species